rnacentral:tRNA from 4 species
GCCCUCGUAGCUCAGGGGAUAGAGCACCGCUCUCCUAAAGCGGGUGUCGGACGUUCGAAUCGUCUCGAGGGCA